ACGGGAGGCAGCAGUGGGGAAUAUUGCACAAUGGGGGAAACCCUGAUGCAGCGACGCCGCGUGAGUGAAGAAGUAUUUCGGUAUGUAAAGCUCUAUCAGCAGGGAAGAAAAUGACGGUACCUGACUAAGAAGCCCCGGCUAACUACGUGCCAGCAGCCGCGGUAAUACGUAGGGGGCAAGCGUUAUCCGGAUUUACUGGGUGUAAAGGGAGCGUAGACGGCAUAGCAAGUCUGAAGUGAAAGCCCGUGGCUCAACUGCGGGACUGCUUUGGAAACUGUUAGGCUAGAGUGUCGGAGAGGUGAGUGGAAUUCCCAGUGUAGCGGUGAAAUGCGUAGAUAUUGGGAGGAACACCAGAGGCGAAGGCGGCUCACUGGACGAUUACUGACGUUGAGGCUCGAAAGCGUGGGGAGCAAACAGGAUUAGAUACCCUGGUA
rnacentral:rRNA from 1 species